rnacentral:rRNA from 1 species
UACGUAGGGGGCGAGCGUUGUCCGGAUUUAUUGGGCGUAAAGAGCGUGUAGGCGGCCAGAUAAGUCCGCUGUGAAAUCUCGAGGCUCAACUUCGAGCUGUCGGUGGAAACUAUCUGGCUAGAGUCCGGAAGAGGAGAAUGGAAUUCCUGGUGUAGCGGUGAAAUGCGCAGAUAUCAGGAAGAACAUCCGUGGCGAAGGCGGUUCUCUGGGACGGUACUGACGCUGAGACGCGAAAGCGUGGGGAGCGAACAGG